CAGCAGCCGCGGUAAUACGGAGGAUGCGAGCGUUAUCCGGAUUUAUUGGGUUUAAAGGGUGCGUAGGCGGAUCAAUAAGUCAGUGGUGAAAACCUUCAGCUUAACUGGAGACUUGCCAUUGAUACUGUUAGUCUUGAGUACGGUCAAGGUAGGCGGAAUGUGUAAUGUAGCGGUGAAAUGCUUAGAUAUUACACAGAACACCGAUUGCGAAGGCAGCUUACUGGGCCAUUACUGACGCUGAUGCACGAAAGCGUGGGGAGCGAACAGGAUUAGAUACCCUGGUAGUCCACGCCGUAAACGAUGAUCACUCGCUGUUGGCGAUACACAGUCAGCGGCUAAGCAAAAGCAUUAAGUGAUCCACCUGGGGAGUACGGCCGCAAGGCUGAAACUCAAAGGAAUUGACGG
rnacentral:rRNA from 1 species